rnacentral:rRNA from 1 species
UACGAAGGGGGCUAGCGUUGCUCGGAUUUACUGGGCGUAAAGGGCGCGUAGGCGGACAGUUAAGUUGGGGGUGAAAGCCCGGGGCUCAACCUCGGAAUUGCCUUCAAUACUGGCUGUCUUGAGUGUGAGAGAGGUGUGUGGAACUCCGAGUGUAGAGGUGAAAUUCGUAGAUAUUGGGAGGAAUACCGGUGGCGAAGGCGACCACCUGGACGAAGACUGACGCUGAGGCGCGAGAGCGUGGGGAGCAAACAGG